CAGUCGCCACGGGAAUACAGAGGGUGCGAGCGUUAAUCGGAUUUACUGGGCGUAAAGCGUGCGUAGGCGGCUUCUUAAGUCGGAUGUGAAAUCCCUGAGCUUAACUUAGGAAUUGCAUUCGAUACUGGGAAGCUAGAGUAUGGGAGAGGAUGGUAGAAUUCCAGGUGUAGCGGUGAAAUGCGUAGAGAUCUGGAGGAAUACCGAUGGCGAAGGCAGCCAUCUGGCCCGGUACUGACGCUGAGGCGCGAAAGAGUGGGGAGCAAACAGGAUUAGAUACCCCGGUAGUCCCUGUCUCUUAUAU
rnacentral:rRNA from 1 species